rnacentral:rRNA from 1 species
UACAGAGGGUGCGAGCGUUAAUCGGAAUUACUGGGCGUAAAGCGUGCGUAGACGGCUAUCUAAGUCGGGUGUGAAAGCCCCGGGCUCAACCUGGGAAUUGCAUUCGAGACUGAAUAGCUAGGGUACGGUAGAGGGAAGUGGAAUUUCCGGUGUAGCGGUGAAAUGCGUAGAUAAUCGGAAGGAACAUCAGUGGCGAAAGCGACUUCCUGGACCAGUACCGACGUUCAGGCACGAAAGCGUGGGGAGCAAACAGGA